rnacentral:rRNA from 1 species
GACGUAGGAUGCAAGCGUUGUCCGGAUUUAUUGGGCGUAAAGAGUUCGUAGGCGGUUUUAUAAGUCUGGUGUAAAAGACUGGGGCUCAACCCUGGGAUCGCACUGGAUACUGUAAGACUGGAGCGCAGUAGAGGCAAGCGGAAUUCCCAGUGUAGCGGUGAAAUGCGUAGAUAUUGGGAAGAACACCGGUGGCGCAAGCGGCUUGCUGGGCUGUAACUGACGCUGAGGAACGAAAGCUAGGGGAGCGAAUGGG